ACUCACUGCUGCUCCCUCAAAGCUAGAGAACCAGAGCUGAGAAGCAGAAACCCUCUCAGUGGCCUGGCCCGUGCUGCAGACAGACAGAGCGGUCAAGGAAGGCCUCAGGACCAGAGGCAGAGAGAGGAAUGGAGUGAGAGAGAUCAAUGCUGGACCCAAGAUGAUUAACGUGCCAACCUGGGGCACUGGCGCUAGGGAGAUGGUCAGAUCGAUGGAUUCCAAGCAAAUGAAGAGCCUGGCGCAUUCGGCAGCCAAGCUGUGAAGUUAAACACAGCGACGGGGCCAGGCGUUUGGUGAGCGAUGAGGGUGAUGAAACAGGACACAUAUAUCUUGGGAAACAACACUGAGAGGCCAGAUCUGGUUCUGAAAAAUGUCUUUGCUCCUUGUCACCUUUCAAAGGCAAAAUCACAGCUCUGACAAAUACCAAGAAGAAUUCCCAGGUGUGUCUGCAGCCGUGAAAAUGUGACAUGAGUCACAGUGUCUUCGGAGGAAAUGAAAGACCACAGGACGGGGACAUGGCAUCAUGAAAAAAGAUGCUUUGUGAUUUUCAACAUAUGGUGACACUUUUCCUAAUUUAGAGGGGGAAGCUGGGUUUUGAGUUUUCUUUUAUCCUCCCUCUUUGUUAAAAGCAAGAGAAAGAAGAUUUAAAGAACAUCUGUGUAUUCAAAUGAUAGAAAUAGAAUUAUACACUUUCAAAAACAAGUUCUAGUAUUUUUGUCUCUUUCAAAGAUUUCCGAAGCCUAUAGAUUUCUCUCGUGUUUGUGAGAGCAUUUCCUCUGAGACCUUAGACAUAGUGUUGAAGUUGAAAUGGUUUUUGUCUUUUUCCCCUUUCUGUUAACCCAGCCCCCACUUCAUUCUGUUAAUCUCCUUUAAUUGGACUUAAGAUAAGACUGAGUAUGUUCAAUAUUUUUAUUGAAUUGAGUUUUAUGUUUCCAGUCUGGAUUUAUAGACUGUUAAAUAGAAUGUUUUACGUUUCUCUCUCUCGCAAAGAAAAUAACAAAUACGUGUGGGACAGAGCCAUCAGUCAAUUAUAUCAGUGGAUUGUUGGCAACUCACAGGGGGAAAAAAAAGAGCAUUUUCACUCUACUCUUAGGGGAAAGCAAUUAUAUUUAAGAGCAGUAGAAAGCCAAAACUAGCCUGGAACUUCAAAACGCCUUUCUUGACUGACCAAGAAAAGGUACAGUGACUACAAUGACAAACCAGCCCCCAGCUCUUUUAGAAAUCUACCCUGCCUCAUGCUAAAGAGAAAGUAAGUGAUGUUUCAGCCUCGGCGACCAGGCAGGAAUAGAAAAAUACAUUGACAGUAGUUGGAUAGACCUUAAAAUUAAGUAAAAAUUUCUUAAUAUACAAGAUCUCAGUUUUCCCACAAACCUCCUUUCUGUCCAGAAAUUUCCAUGCCAUUUACUGCCUGAUCAUGUCAGGAAUGACGUUCUUCCUUGUUCUUGAUUUUCCUUCCUGGAAUGUUUUAAUCCUGCCUCUCCAGAACACUUUUCCCUACUUCUUCUAGGCCCUACUCACAGCAAUGUAGCUGACACAUAGCAUUAGCGUGCAAAACCUCAAAUCCUUUCUGACUUGGAACUUCACCCAGGAAAGACCUCUAGCAAAAGUGCUGGCCAUUGUGUCACAGGACAAACCCCUUUCAAAGAACAAAGCCAUCAUCAUCUCAAAAGCCACAGUCACCACCUGGACCUUCCGUCCUGAGGAAAGGAAUCUCCACCGAAUCUAGGGGGAAGACCCCCCCACCAGUCUGUGCAAAAGAUGAAGAAUUGACUCCUCUGAGACCCUCCGUGGAGGACAGCUCAGAGCUAAGCCCUGGAGAGAAAAGCAGCCACGUGUCCCCCGAUUCUGUUGCUGCAUCCCCCAAAGAGAUUUCCAACCAAGAUGCUCUGCCAGAAAUGGAAUUACGGUCAAAUAUUGCAUCCCGAUCACAUUGGUAUGUUAAAGACUUGGAGAGGGUUCGAGGUAAAGAUCUAUGCUGAAACUUUUCCUAACGGUAUUUGACUCAGAAAUGUUUCUUGCUAUAUAUAAACUAAAACACCGUACUUCAGAAGGAUGACUACUUUUUCUCUCAUUAUGAAUGUAAAACUAAAUACAAUUGAGUUGGUAUUAUCACAAGCAGUGGCCAGAGGACCUUGAAGUCGAUGGCCCGGCCACCAUGCCCUAUAGAAAGCUUGGGCUGAGGGCUCAGCAUACAGGGUCUGGCUCAACUCCCUCACCCAGUGUGAUGGAGGGCCAUCCCCUUGCUCCCUGCAGCUCUCUCACCUGUGAGACAGGAGGACCCCGAAGCACCCUGCACACUAGGAUGUGGUCAGGCUGCAACAAUACUUUAAAUGUGCUUUGCAAACUGUAAAGAGCACAACACUUUAAGGGUCUGUGGUGUCAGUACCUCUGUUCUUGAGGCCACACUCAUGGGAGAAGAGAUCACUUGGCCUCAGCUGCCCUGGGAGCUGGUGAAAAAUGUGUGGUUUUGACUGUGGUCUGCCAAUGAGACAUCAGAGGCAGCAGUUCCUUGAAUAUUUCCCCUGCUCUGGACCCUGAGGGAGGGAACUGAUACCAGAGGUCUUUUCUAUCUUUAGUAUCUAUACCUACAUGUCUUCCUCUAUUGCACAGGGAUGCUCUCUCUGCCUUCUCAGUGCUUACAUCUAUUUGUUUUUUUCUUUUUGGAGUCUCGCUCUGUCACCCAGGCUGGAGAGCAGUGGCGCGAUAUCAGCUCACUGCCAACCUCUGAUGCCCUGGUUCAAGCGAUUCUCGUGCCUCAGCCUCCCGAGAAGCUGGGAUUACAGGUGCCUGCCACCAUGCCCAGCUAAUUUUUUGUAUUUUUAUUAGAGACAGGGUUUUGCCAUGCUGUCCAGGCUGUUCUCUAACUCCUGACCUCUGGUGAUCCGCCCACCUCGGCCUCCCAAAGUGCUGGAAUUACAGGCGUGAGCCACCGCGUCCGGCCGCUUACACCUUUUAAAGCUUCUGAUUCUGCUGUCUCUGCUCUGUGGCUUUGCAUCUGGGCAAGUUUCUCCGCAGACCAGGAACCUCUAAGUCGGGGGAGGAAAGAGAGGUCGCUGAAUCAGAGCAAGGCAUGCCGUCCUCGUCUGCAUCCUCUAUUACUCUUGAAUAAGAGAGAAUGCGAGGACAAACGGGCAUCAGCAUAGUGACGUGUCCAUGUAGGUUCACGAAUGUAAGAGCUGCACCACGUGGGUGUGGAAUGUUAACAGUUGGGGAGGCUGGGGCAGUGGGAAAAGGGGUCUAUGGGAAUGCUCUGUAUUUUCCCCUUAUUUUACUGGAACCUAAAACUGC
rnacentral:lncRNA from 1 species